UCCCCCCUCUCCGAGUCCUCCAACGCGGACCUCCACGCCACAGAGCUGUGCCGCCAACAGGCGGCGCCGGCCUUCAGUCGCUUCUACUCCGCCGUCCGCGUCAACCGCAGCGUGCUGUGCGUCACCGCCUGCAGCCCCGGCGUCCCCGGCGCCAUCCAUUGUCACCACGGCCUCUGCCGGGUCACAACGCAGGGACCGCGCUGCUUGUGAGCACCCGCCCAACGCCACCUGACCCCGUGACCCCAAAUCCUGAGCCUUGACCCCAAAUCCUGAGCCCUUGACCCUAAAUCCUGGCCUCUUGACCCCAAAUCCUGGCCUCUUGACCCUAAGGCCUGAGCCUUGACCCUAAAUCCUGACCCUUGACCCUAAAUCCUGACCUCUUGACCCUAAGUCCUGAGCCUUGACCCCAAGGCCUGACCCUUGACCCUAAAUCCUGGCCCCUUGACCCCAAAUCGCGACCCUUGACCUUAAAUCCUGACCCCUUGACCCUACGUCCUGACCCCUAGAACCCAAAUAUGACCCCUGGACCCCAAAUCCUGACCCUUGACCCCAAAUCCUGAGCCUUGACCCCAAGGCCUGACCCUAAAUCCCCAUAUCAUGACCCUUGACCCCAAGGCCUGACCCCUUGACCCCAAAUCCCGACCCUUGACCCUAUGUCCUGACCCUUGACCUCAAAUCCCAACCUUUGACCCUAAAUCCUGAGCCUUGACCCCAAAUCCUGUCCCCUUGACCCUAAGUCCUGACCCCUUGACCCCAAAUCCUGACCCUUGACCCCAAAUCCUGACCCCUUGACCCUAAAUCCCGACCCUUGACCCUAAGUCCUGAUCCCUUGACCCCAAAUCCUGAGUCUUGACCCCAAAUCCCGACCCUUGACCCCAAAUCCUGACCCUUGACCUUAGUCCUGACCCCUUGACCCCAAAUCUGACCCCUUGACCCCAAAUCCUGACCCCUGGACCCCAAAUCCUGACCCCUUGACCCUAUGUCCUGACCCUUGACCCCAAAUCCCAACCCCUGACCCCAAGGCCUGACCCUUGACCCCAAAUCCUGAUCCCUUGACCCCAAACCCCAACCCUUGACCCCAAAUCCUAACCCUUUCCUGCUCAAGCCCUC
rnacentral:lncRNA from 1 species